UACGGAGGGUGCAAGCGUUAUCCGGAUUUACUGGGUUUAAAGGGUGCGUAGGUGGGUCUGUAAGUCAGUGGUGAAAUCUUCGAGCUUAACUCGGAAACUGCCAUUGAUACUAUAGAUCUUGAAUCAUCUGGAGGUGAGCGGAAUAUGUCAUGUAGCGGUGAAAUGCUUAGAUAUGACAUAGAACACCGAUUGCGAAGGCAGCUCACUACGGAUGCAUUGACACUGAGGCACGAAAGCGUGGGA
rnacentral:rRNA from 1 species